AUUGAACGCUGGCGGCAGGCCUAACACAUGCAAGUCGAGCGGAUGAAGGGAGCUUGCUCCUGGAUUCAGCGGCGGACGGGUGAGUAAUGCCUAGGAAUCUGCCUGGUAGUGGGGGAUAACGUCCGGAAACGGGCGCUAAUACCGCAUACGUCCUGAGGGAGAAAGUGGGGGAUCUUCGGACCUCACGCUAUCAGAUGAGCCUAGGUCGGAUUAGCUAGUUGGUGUGGUAAAGGCGUACCAAGGCGACGAUCCGUAACUGGUCUGAGAGGAUGAUCCGUCACACUGGAACUGAGACACGGUCCAGACUCCUACGGGAGGCAGCAGUGGGGAAUAUUGGACAAUGGGCGAAAGCCUGAUCCAGCCAUGCCGCGUGUGUGAAGAAGGUCUUCGGAUUGUAAAGCACUUUAAGUUGGGAGGAAGGGCAGUAAGUUAAUACCUUGCUGUUUUGACGUUACCAAAAGAAUAAGCACCGGCUAACUUCGUG
rnacentral:rRNA from 1 species